ACCAAUGCAAGUCGAGCGGUAAGGCCCUUCGGGGUACACGAGCGGCGAACGGGUGAGUAACACGUGGGUGAUCUACCCUGUACUUCCGGAUAAACCUGGGAAACUGGGUCUAAUACCGGAUAUGACCUUCCGAUGCAUGUCGGUGGGUGGAAAGAUUUAUCGGUACUGGAUGGGCCCGCGGCCUAUCACCUUGUUGGUGGGGUAAUGGCCUACCAAGGCGACAACAGGUAGCCGGCCUGAGAGGGCGACCGGCCACACUGGGACUGAGACACGGCCCACACUCCUACGGGAGGCACCACUGGGGAAUAUUGCACAAUGGGCGAAAGCCUGAUGCAGCGACGCCCGGCGUGAAGGGGAUGACCGCCCUUUCGGGUUGUAAACCUCUUUCGACAGGGAACGAAGCGCAAGUGACGGUACCUGUAGAGAAGACACCGGCCAACUACGUGCCAGCAGCCGCGGUAAUACGUAGGGUGCGAGCGUUGUCCGGAAUUACUGGGCGUAAAGAGCUUGUAGGCGGUUUGUCGCGUCGUCCGUGAAAACUUGGGGCUCAACCCCAAGUUUGCGGGCGAUACGGGCAGACUUGAGUACUGCAGGGGAGACUGGAAUUCCUGGUGUAGCGGUGAAAUGCGCAGAUAUCUGGAGGAACACCGGUGGCGAAGGCGGGUCUCUGGGCAGUAACUGACGACUGAGAAGCGAAAGCGUGGGUAGCGAACAGGAUUAGAUACCCUGGUAGUCCACGCCGUAAACGGUGGGCGCUAGGUGUGGGUUUCCUUCCACGGGAUCCGUGCCGUAGCUAACCCAUUAAGCGCCCCCCCCUGGGGGAGUACGCGCCCCAAGGCUUAAACACUCAAAGGAAUUUACACGGGGGCCCGCCCACAGCGCGCGCGAGCAUGUGGUAUUAAUUGGAUGCCACACCGGAAAAACCCUUACCCGGGUCUGACAUAUCCCCGGAAACCUGCUCAUAGAUGUAGGCCUCCUUGUUGGUCGGUGUCCACGGUGGGGUCAUGGCUGUGCCCCCUCACCUUCGGUCUCGUGAGACUGUUGGGUAUAAUUCCCGCAACGAAGCGCAACCCCUUAUCCUUCAUGUUGGCCAGUCGCGUAAUGGCGGGGACUCGUGAGAGACUGCCGGGGUCAACUCGGAGGAAGGUGGGGACGACGUCAAGUCAUCAUGCCCCUUAUGUCCAGGGCUUCACACAUGCUACAAUGGCCGGUACAGAGGGCUGCGAUACCGUGAGGUGGAGCGAAUCCCUUAAAGCCGGUCUCAGUUCGGAUCGGGGUCUGCAACUCGACCCCGUGAAGUUGGAGUCGAUAGUAAUCGCAGAUCAGCAACGCUGCGGUGAAUACGUUCCCGGGCCUUGUACACACCGCCCGUCACGUCAUGAAAGUCGGUAACACCCGAAGCCGGUGGCCUAACCCCUUGUGGGAGGGAGCCUCGAAGUGAUCUCG
rnacentral:rRNA from 1 species